rnacentral:rRNA from 1 species
AGAGUUUCUUUAUGGCUCAGGACGAACGCUGGCGGCGUGCUUAACACAUGCAAGUCGAACGAAAAGAGGGAAAGAGCUUGCUCUUUCCGGAAUUGAGUGGCAAACGGGUGAGUAACACGUAAACAACCUGCCUUCAGGAUGGGGACAACAGACGGAAACGACUGCUAAUACCGAAUAAGUUCCAAGAGCCGCAUGGCCCAUGGAAGAAAAGGUGGCCUCUACCUGUAAGCUAUCGCCUGAAGAGGGGUUUGCGUCUGAUUAGCUGGUUGGUGGGGUAACGGCCCACCAAGGCGACGAUCAGUAGCCGGUCUGAGAGGAUGAACGGCCACACUGGAACUGAGACACGGUCCAGACUCCUACGGGAGGCAGCAGUGGGGAAUCUUCCGCAAUGGGCGAAAGCCUGACGGAGCAACGCCGCGUGAGUGAUGACGGCCUUCGGGUUGUAAAACUCUGUGAUCCGGGACGAAAAGGCAGAGUGCGAAGAACAAACUGCAUUGACGGUACCGGAAAAGCAAGCCACGGCUAACUACGUGCCAGCAGCCGCGGUAAUACGUAGGUGGCAAGCGUUGUCCGGAAUUAUUGGGCGUAAAGCGCGCGCAGGCGGCUUCCCAAGUCCCUCUUAAAGGUGCGGGGCUUAACCCCGUGAUGGGAAGGAAACUGGGAAGCUGGAGUAUCGGAGAGGAAAGUGGAAUUCCUAGUGUAGCGGUGAAAUGCGUAGAGAUUAGGAAGAACACCGGUGGCGAAGGCGACUUUCUGGACGAAAACUGACGCUGAGGCGCGAAAGCGUGGGGAGCAAACAA